rnacentral:rRNA from 1 species
AUACGUAGGUGGCGAGCGUUGUCCGGAAUUACUGGGCGUAAAGGAUGCGUAGGUGGAUAUUUAAGUGGGAUGUGAAAUCCCCGGGCUCAACCCGGGAACUGCAUUCCAAACUGGGUAUCUAGAGUGCAGGAGAGGAAAGCGGAAUCCCUAGUGUAGCGGUGAAAUGCGUAGAUAUUAGGAGGAACACCAGUGGCGAAGGCGGCUUUCUGGACUGUAACUGACACUGAGGCAUGAAAGCGUGGGUAGCAAACAGGAUUAGAUCCCCUGGUAGUCCACGCUGUAAACGAUGGGUACUAGGUGUAGGAGGUAUCGACCCCUUCUGUGCCGUCGUUAACACAAUAAGUACCCCGCCUGGGGAGUACGGUCGCAAGAUUAAAACUCAAAUGAAUUGGCGGGG